rnacentral:lncRNA from 1 species
AGGGAGGGAGAGAGAUAAGAAAAUUUCAAGGGAAAAAUAUAUAUACAUAAUGAAAGGAGAAUCGAGAAAUGAGGAAAAGGGAAGUUAGAUACAUGUCCAGCUAACCUUUGUAGACGAAACUUACUAUUGCUCUUUUGUCCUUUGUCGAACUCCAUUAAAUGAGGCUUGUUAAACCUCCCUUUCAACAGUGAAACAAAGUCCAUGAAACAUCAUUUUUUUAAUGAAUCAUUCUUACUGAUUCACCGCUAUCAAAGACACGGGUCUCAGCAGAAGGAAAGGGACUGAGGCGGGCCAAUUAGCGUUCGAGAAAGCCCCAGAGAGCCAUUGUCUCUCCCCCCCUCCCUCCCUCCCUCUCCCUCCUCCCUCCUCUCCUCCCUCCAUUUCUCCGCGACACUGUUACUGUCAGACCCACGAGCAUAACGAAGAGCCCGCACACUUCACUCACAGCGGCCCCCCGUCAACCCCCGGGAAUGGAAACUGUUAACGAAAUCCCACAUCAGCCAUCGGCAGAAGCUUCUCUCGUAGUGUUCGUGUGACCGCAGCUUUCACCUCUUGCUGCGCUGUUCUCGCUUCGAUAAACCAAGAAGGAAGGAAUUACAAGCAGGUAUAACAGCAGGGAAAUAAUGGAAUUGACGUCGCCUUAACCCAGAGCCAGGAAGGGCCGGCCGGAAGUCAACAAGAACAACAACAACAACACUAUCAGCAAGAUGGCCCACCCCCUCCCCAGCAGCCCCCGCCACCCCCCUCAACCUUGGCGUCGGCUGGAGCGACAGAUGGCCGCUGGUUGCCGACGGAGGAGCCCGUGCCGCCGUGAGCCCGUCCAGCGCCCCGAGGAGGGAUGGGAAGAGGACACCGAGGAGGGAUAGGAAGAGGACACCGAGGAGGGAUAGGAAGAGGACACCGAGGAGGGAUAGGAAGAGGACACCGAGGCUUGGGAAACCUUCCGCGGGUUGGCAGCUCCAAGGGCUUCGUCGUCCUGGUGAAUCCGAGGGGCGUUCCCGUGGCAGGUGCAGCGUCGUCAUUACCUUCUGGCGACGCCCUUGUCUGCGCGCGCGUGUGUGUAUGUGAUCGAAGAUUUGCUGACGCUUUUUCGGACAACUAUGAUGAUCCAGCGAUACAGAGGAACAAGAAAGAAAAAAAGAAUUGUUCCAGGAACAGCUAUUACAGGGCGUUGCUACAGGGUGGGUCAGAAAACUUGGGCUCCUGGGAAAAAAGAAAAAAAAAAAACGUAAAUAAUAAUACAUGAUUCCGGUCACAAGAAGGGUGCGACCUUUGAUGAUCUUUAUUUCCAGGUUACAUAUUUGUAAUCCAAUAAGUGUAAGGAAUAGAAAUCUGCCGAAAAUUGAUAAACCUGCUGGAUAAAACAAUUCUGAAAUCAAAAAUAGAUAUAUUUGUAAAAAAAAGGCGAGAACAAAAGACGAGGUGAUAGUGAAAUAGCGUCACUUUAGCGACGGCCAUGCUUCAAGCUUCUAGAUCAGGCUCGUGUUUCAGUGUCUCUGUGAAUCAUCCAGUUUCUAUUAUUUCAUGAAUAACUUAAGUUUACGUGACGUAUGACAUUCAUCCGUUUGUGUAAGUAUGUGCUGUGUGUAGUGUGUGCGUGUGUACACCUUUUUUUGGAUCAUUUUUAUGUUUCGAAUAUUCUGAAGGUUGUAUUUGAUUUCCGAAGACUUGGCGAGCGGACCUCAGCGUUUUGGGAAGGAGUGACGGUUAAAAAAAAUAUGAAUAUGUUUCUUGCCCAAAUGAAUAUAUACAUUUCUUUUUAGAUAUUCCAUGACUUCAAUGAAAACGUAAUUUCAUUUUUUAUUUUGUUGUUUAGUCAGUUGUGGUUUUAGAUUUCUUGAUAUAUUAAUAAAAGAAAAUUUUAAAAGAUACAUAGAUAUAUACAAACUCCUUCUCAGAUCUGCGAGUAGCUUUUAGCGUCGUCUUUUCCCCGAUUUUAGAGCUAUAGAUGUUUUUUGUGUGUAAUACCAUGCCAUAUAUUCUUUAACAGUUUUGUAUAGUGUAGCAUAAAAUUCUAUUGUAAAUAUAUGUAAAUAAUGCUCUUUAAUAAACUUUCUGUUUUUUCUUG